GGGCCAUGUAACUUUAGUGGCGGACGGGUGAGUAACACGUGAGAAUUUACCUUUAGGAGGGGAAUAACAGUUGGAAACGACUGCUAAUGCCGCAUAUCAUAACUAUGAAAGAAGAAAUUCGCCUAAAGAAAAGCUUGCGUCUGAUUAGCUAGUUGGUAAGGGUAAAGGCCUACCAAGGCGACGAUCAGUAGCUGGUUUGAGAGGACGACCAGUCACACUGGAACUGAGACACGGUCCAGACUCCUACGGGAGGCAGCAGCGGGGAAUUUUCUGCAAUGGGCGAAAGCCUGACAGAGCAAUACCGCGUGAGGGAAGAAAGCCCACGGGGUUGUAAACCUCUUUUGUCAAGGAAGAAGUUCUGACGUUACUUGACGAAUAAGCAUCGGCUAACUCCGUGCCAGCAGCCGCGGUAAGACGGGGGAUGCAAGUGUUAUCCGGAAUCACUGGGCGUAAAGCGUUUGUAGGUGGUUUAGUAAGUCUAUUAUUAAAGCUUGAAGCUUAACUUCAAAAAUGUAAUAGAAACUACUAGACUUGAGGAUAGUAGGGGUAAAGGGAAUUUCAGUGGAGCGGUGAAAUGCGUAGAGAUUGGAAGGACCACCGAUGGCGAAGGCACUUUACUGGGCUAUUUCUGACACUAAGAGACGAAAGCU
rnacentral:rRNA from 1 species